CAAAUUUUUCAUCCAAAUUCUACCCAAAACCAUAAAUUUGUUGAUCCUAGCCUCCAAAACUCAAGUUAUUUCGAAAAAGAAACCCUAAUUCCUAAUAAGGCCUCAGGCAGUCUCCUUAAAGUCCAUUGGACAUGGCCUUCGACCAAUAGGAAUGAAGAUCUACAUUCCUUGCAUUCAUCCAACCAUGCCUUGCUUUCAUCCC
rnacentral:lncRNA from 1 species